rnacentral:rRNA from 1 species
UACGGGGGGGGCAAGCGUUGUUCGGAAUUACUGGGCGUAAAGGGCUCGUAGGCGGCCAACUAAGUCAGACGUGAAACCCCUCGGCUUAACCGGGGAACUGCGUCUGAUACUGGAUGGCUUGAGUGUGGGAGAGGAAUGCGGAAUUCCAGGUGUAGCGGUGAAAUGCGUAGAUAUCUGGAGGAACACCGGUGGCGAAGGCGGCAUUCUGGACCAUUACUGACGCUGAGGAGCGAAGGCCAGGGGAGCAAACGGG